UACGGAGGGAGCUAGCGUUGUUCGGAAUUACUGGGCGUAAAGCGUACGUAGGCGGUGAUUCAAGUCAGAGGUGAAAGCCUGGAGCUCAACUCCAGAACUGCCUUUGAAACUAGAUCGCUAGAAUCACGGAGAGGUGAGUGGAAUUCCGAGUGUAGAGGUGAAAUUCGUAGAUAUUCGGAAGAACACCAGUGGCGAAGGCGGCUCACUGGACGUGUAUUGACGCUGAGGUACGAAAGCGUGGGGAGCAAAUAGG
rnacentral:rRNA from 1 species